rnacentral:misc_RNA from 1 species
GAUGAAGAACGCAGUGAAAUGCGAUAAGUAGUGUGAAUUGCAGAAUUCAGUGAAUCAUCGAAUCUUUAAACGCACAUUGCGCCUCCUGGUAUUCCGGGAGGCAUGCCUGUUCGAGCGUCAUUAAAAUCACUCAAGCUUAGGUUUACCUAUUGCUUGGUCUUGGAGAUGGAAGCCAAUUUAUUGGAAUCCUCUUCGAAAUUCAAUGGCGAAGACCCUUGCUCUCCCAAGUGUAGUAAUAACUUAUGUCACUGAAGGAAGCGAGAAAUCUUCUGCCGUAACCCCCAUAUUUUCUAUGAUUGACCUCGGAUCAGGUAGGGAUACCCGCUGAACUUAAGCAUAUCAAUAAGCGGAGGA